rnacentral:rRNA from 1 species
AUUAGAGUUUGAUCCUGGCUCAGAACGAACGCUGGCGGCGUGGAUAAGACAUGCAAGUCGAACGGGGUAUUUUGAUAGCAAUAUUGAAAUGCUCAGUGGCGAACGGGUGCGUAACACGUGGGUAACAUGCCGGGAAGUGGAGAAUAGCCCAGGGAAACUUGGAUUAAUGCUCCAUGUGGUCGCAAGACUAAAGACGGGGUAACCUGUCGCUUCCUGAUUGGCCCGCGGCCUAUCAGCUAGUUGGCGAGGUAACGGCUCACCAAGGCGACGACGGGUAGCUGGUCUGAGAGGAUGACCAGCCACACUGGAACUGAGACACGGUCCAGACACCUACGGGUGGCAGCAGUCGAGAAUCUUUCACAAUGGGGGCAACCCUGAUGGAGCGACGCCGCGUGGAGGAUAAGGUCUUCGGAUUGUAAACUCCUGUCAUGCGAGAGUAAGACUGAUUCGUUAACUGCGAGUCAGGUUGACAGUACCGCAAGAGGAAGAGACGGCUAACUCUGUGCCAGCAGCCGCGGUAAUACAGAGGUCUCAAGCGUUGUUCGGAAUUACUGGGCGUAAAGGGUGCGUAGGCUGCGCAGAAAGUCAGAUGUGAAAUCCGGGAGCUCAACUUCCGAAUUGCAUCCGAUACUCCUGUGCUAGAGGACUGGAGAGGAGCUUGGAAUUCUCGGUGUAGCAGUGAAAUGCGUAGAGAUCGAGAGGAACACUAGUGGC